GUCACUUCUCCAAGUUGCCAGUUCAGCAGUGAGGAAUAUUGGUCAAUGGCCUAACGGCUGAACUGGCAACUUGGAGAAGUGGCAAGUCUUCCAGUAUGGGGAGCAAAACAGCUAUGGGUCAAGUCCGAUAUCUUUAGGAGAAGUCUUAUUGUGAGGGCGAGUUAUAUAACACCAUAGGACUGGCCGUCCCAUAUGAAAAGAUUAUAUUAGAAUUGAAUGAAGCUUUGUUUAUAUAUUGAUAAUGACAGUAUAUAUAUCGUGUCUUGACUAAUUGCGUGCCAGCAGUCGCGGUAAUACGUAAGAGACUAGUGUUAUUCAUCUUAAUUAGGUUUAAAGGGUACCCAGACGGUCAAUAUAGCUUAUAAAAUGUUAGUACUUGACUAGAGUUUUAUGUAAGAGGGCAGUACUUGAGGAGGAGAGAUGAAAUUUCGUGAUACCAAAGGGACUCUGUAAAGGCGAAGGCAGCCCUCUAUGUAAAAACUGACGUUGAAGGACGAAGGCACAGAGAACAAACAGGAUUAGAUACCCAAGUAGUCUUUGCAGUAAAUGAUGAAUGCCAUAGGUUAGAUUGAUCAAUUAUAGUCUAGGGUUAGUCUAGCAAACUAAUGCCCUAUGAUAUAAUUCAAAAUAUCUGGUCUAUAAAUGAAAGUGUAAGCAUUUCACCUCAAGAGUAAUGUGGCAACGCAGGAACUGAAAUCACUAGACCGUUUCUGACACCAGUAGUGAAGUAUGUUAUUUAAUUCGAUGAUCCGCAA
rnacentral:rRNA from 1 species